rnacentral:rRNA from 1 species
UACGUAGGUGGCAAGCGUUGUCCGGAUUUAUUGGGUUUAAAGGGUGCGUAGGCGGUCCUAUAAGUCAGUGGUGAAAUACAUCCGCUCAACGGUUGAGGUGCCAUUGAUACUGCAGGACUUGAGUACAGACGAGGUAGGCGGAAUUGACAGUGUAGCGGUGGAAUGCAUAGAUAUCGUCAAGAACACCGAUAGCGAAGGCAGCUUACUAGACUGUAACUGACGCUGAGGCACGAAGGUGCGGGGACCAAACAGG